rnacentral:rRNA from 1 species
AGCUCACCUUGUGAAUCUGCCAUUCUUGGCCGAAUUGUAGUCUGGAGAGGCGUGACCAGCCGUCGGCGAGGGCGAAGUCUCUUGGAAAAGAGCAUCAUGGAGGGUGACAAUCCCGUCGUUGCCCCCGCGCGGCGCGCGUAUGGUCCGUUUUCGACGAGUCGAGUUGCUUGGGAUUGCAGCUCAAAGUGGGUGGUAAAUUCCAUCUAAAGCUAAACACGCGUGGGAGACCGAUAGCGAACAAGUACCGUGAGGGAAAGAUGCAAAGAACUUUGAAAAGAGAGUUAAAGAGUGCCUGAAAUUGCUGAAAGGGAAGCGAAGGAAAUCAGUGUCUGUCGGUCUUGCUUCUCCGUUCGUCUUCGGGCGUUCGGAUCGCGGUUCCGGCGUGGCCAGGGCCGGGUGUCUUUGCGGGAGCCUGCGCGGGGGGAGGUACGUCUCUUCGGAGAGGGAAU